GAUGAACGCUGGCGGCGUGCCUAACACAUGCAAGUCGAGCGAACGGACGAGAAGCUUGCUCCUCUGAUGUUAGCGGCGGACGGGUGAGUAACAUGUGGAUAACCUACCUAUAAGACUGGGAUAACUUCGGGAAACCGUAGCUAAUACCGGAUAAUCUUUUGAACCGCAUGGUUCAAAAGUGAAAGACGGUCUUGCUGUCACUUAUAGCUGGAUCCGCGCUGCAUUAGCUAGUUGGUAAGGUAACGGCUUACCAAGGCAACGAUGCAUAGCCGACCUGAGAGGGUGAUCGGCCACACGGGAAGGGAGACACGGUCCAGACUCCUACGGGAGGCAGCAGUAGGGAACCGGCCGCAAUGGGCGAAAGCCUGACGGAGCAACGCCGCGUGAGUGAUGAAGGUCUUCGGAUCGUAAAGCUCUGUUAUUGGGGAAGAACAUAUGUGUAAGUAACUGUGCACAGCUUGACGGUACCUGAUCAAAAAGCCACGGCUAACUACGUG
rnacentral:rRNA from 1 species